rnacentral:lncRNA from 10 species
UUUCAGAGUCAGGGUCUCACUCUGUUGCCCAGGCUGGAGUGCAGUGGUGCAAUCACAGCUCGUUGCCAUCUCGACCUCCUGGGCUUAAGCGAUCCUCCACUCAGCCUCCCAAAUAGCUGGGACCACAGACGUGUGCUGCCUUGCCAGGGAUGGUGAUUGCUCACACCAAAGCCUUGGACCCCUCCCAGCCUGUGACCUUUGUGACCAACUCCACCUACGCAGCAGACAAGGGGAUUUGGAGUCCAGCCUUCCAGACCUGAUCUUAUACACCAGCCUCGCUUUACAUCAUGCUGCAAAAUCCUCAGUGUCAUAAACUAUACCUGGUCCCUGGACAUCUGACUCAUACAUAAAAGCCACUGGUUACAAUGGAAAUUGAUUAGGAAAAUGAUGUUAUAAUUCUCAGCAUUACUGUAAGAUGAAGUCUCGCUCUGUCUUCCAGGCUGGAGUGCAGUGGUGCGAUCUCGGCUCACUGCAACCUCUGCCUCCCGGGUUCAAGCAAUUCUUCUGCCUCAGCCUCCCGAGUAGCUGGGACCACAGGAGCGUGCCUCCAUGCCUGAAGACCAUUGUUCCUCUCCUCAAGCCAGAACCAAAAGACUUUUCCUCAAGCUGACAGGCAAGCCAUGCUCACUCCCACAUCUCAAGCUGCAUUGAGUCCAG